AUGAGAGUUGAGGAGUGCCGUUUCCUUUUUGUCAUCUAUCAACAAUUACACCAUCAACAUCAAACAGCAGAGGCUGUUUCCUCGCCUCUGAAGAAUUUUGAAAAGAAGAUCAUCAAGUUUUGGCACCCUGUUGAAGGAUAAUUUCAAUUUAAUUUAAGAACUCUGGCAUCUCAGUAGGGAGGUAAGAGGAGGUGUAAAAGCAAUGUUGUUCAAUAGUUCCUGUGAGAAAACGAAUGAAAAUGAAAUUUGUCACUGAAACAAUAGGCCAGUUCAGGGAAUCACCCUAAUGAAUAUCUGCCUCAGAUCUUAAAUUAAACUCUGAUGAACAAAUCUACUGGUUCCUGGUUUUAUGAUUUGGCCAAAGGAUAAAGUAAUAAUUUACAAGUGCUAUUAAAGUGGAAGAAUGGUCAGACCAAAAAGAAAAAAGAAUUAGAAUCUUAGAGCAGUUGCUACUACUUCAAGUGCACCCAUGCUGCGUACCAAGCCAAGCGCCUGCAAACUCUUGUGACCACAGUUGUAAGCACAAUUAAAUUGCCUUAGAGUACUAAGGAAACUUCAGCACCUGUGUCGUUUAAUGGCAGAUAUCUUCAGGACUAUUUUGUCUGCCUAAAAAAGAGGAAUAAAUCAGAGCUACAAUUAUUGUGAUAAAAGGAA
rnacentral:lncRNA from 12 species